AUGUAUCAGCAUUGCCAGCUUCAGCUUCUUUUUAUUCCUGAACCACUGUUCAUUAAUCAUUGCUCACACAUUUUUACUAUUUUAGGCCACACAAUGACUAUAAUAGAUUUCAUAGAGCUGAGUGAUGAUAAUAUUAUUGACUUGAGCAGCGAUGAGGAGACUGUUCAAGAGAAUCAAAUUGCAACUCAAGAUCGGGCAACGAUGCUUGAUAAGCGGGGUAUGUUUGUCCUAGCUGGUGAAGGUAACCAAGAUGCGCAGGCUGUGUUUGUUGCAGCCACUAAAGGAACGCAAGAGGCUGCUGAGUCCGGGCAGGCUUUGGAAGCCACCACAUCGUCCCUGACUACAGAAAAAACACCUUUUGUUGCAGCUAGUGAAAGAAGGCAAGAUGUGCUGGCUGUGUUUGUUGCAGCUAGUGAAGGAAGGCAAGAUGCUGGUGAGUCCGGAAAUGCUUUGGAAGCUACCCCGUUGUCCUUCGUUACGGAAGAAACACCUCUUGAUACGGCUACAUCACCGAACUGUCAUCGCUCUCCAACAUCAGCGUCAUUCCCUAGCCCGACUUUCACCACUCCGAAAACUCGGACUUCUAAAGGUGGCGAUGCAGAGGCAGUGAGAGUGAAGAGGAAUUAUCGUAAGAAGAACUACCAUACCGACACUCCAAGGAAAAGUCCUAGGCUUAUAAGAUAG
rnacentral:rRNA from 1 species